rnacentral:lncRNA from 1 species
GUUGGGACUCAUGAUAGAGGGACUAAAUUAUACGUUAACUACACCUAGAGGUUCAUUUCAGUUCUACUGGAUUGGUACUACAUACUGUUAGGUAUCAUUGAUGGAUUGUGAGAGCUCACUAGGGUUGUUCCGGAUCGAUAAUCCUUAUUGAGUUAGAGUAAAAUUGUUCCAACCCAUUAAAAAGAGUUUCAAUGAUAUAAUGAUAGAGAUC